AUUGAACGCUGGCGGCAUGCUUUACACAUGCAAGUCGAACGGUAACGCGGGGGCAACCCUGGCGACGAGUGGCGAACGGGUGAGCAAUACAUCGGAACGUGCCCAGUAGUGGGGGAUAGCUCGGCGAAAGCCGGAUUAAUACCGCAUACGACCUACGGGUGAAAGCGGGGGAUCGCAAGACCUCGCGCUAUUGGAGCGGCCGCUGGCAGGUUAGCUUGUUGGUGGGGUAAAAGCCUACCAAGGCUACGAUCUGUAGCUGGUCUGAGAGGACGACCAGCCACACUGGGACUGAGACACGGCCCAGACUCCUACGGGAGGCAGCAGUGGGGAAUUUUGGACAAUGGGCGCAAGCCUGAUCCAGCAAUGCCGCGUGUGUGAUGAAGGCCUUCGGGUUGUAAAGCACUUUUAGUGGGAACGAAACGGUCCGGGCCAAUACCCUGGACUACUGACGGUACCCGCAGAAUAAGCACCGGCUAACUACGUGCCAGCAGCCGCCGCAG
rnacentral:rRNA from 1 species